CAAAAAACCCAUUUAAGUAGACAUUGAGACACCCAAAGGACCUAGUCUGAAUUUAAAGAACAAUUUGGUAGCAGUAAAAGCUAAACAAAUGAGCAAAACCCCCAGAAAAAUACAAACAUUUAUUUUAUGUAAACAAAUGGUUUGGCAGCCCGUGUGUAAACACAUCACAUAUAUGCUUGGUACCCAAGAAAGUCAUAAAAGGGCACUGGAUUCCUGGGACUGGAGUUACAGAUGGUUGUAGGCUACCAUGUAGGUAUAGGAAGUCAAACCUGGAUCAUCUGGAAGAGUAACAAAUACUCUAAACCAGAGCUGUCCUUCUGGCCCCAGAAUAUAAAUAUCAACAGAGGGGCUUGGGGAUUUAGCUCAGUGGUAGAGCACUUGCCUAGCAAGCGCAAGGCCCUGGGUUCGGUCCCCAGCUCAGAAAAAAA
rnacentral:lncRNA from 1 species